AACGAACGCUGGCGGCAGGCUUAACACAUGCAAGUCGAGCGCAUCCUUCGGGGUGAGCGGCAGACGGGUGAGUAACGCGUGGGGAUGUGCCUUGAGGUGGGGAAUAACUGUGGGAAACUACAGCUAAUACCGCAUAAGCCCUUCGGGGGAAAGAUUUAUCGCCUUUAGAGCAACCCGCGUCAGAUUAGCUAGUUGGUAGGGUAAUGGCCUACCAAGGCGACGAUCUGUAGCUGGUCUGAGAGGAUGACCAGCCACACUGGGACUGAGACACGGCCCAGACUCCUACGGGAGGCAGCAGUGGGGAAUAUUGGACAAUGGGCGCAAGCCUGAUCCAGCCAUGCCGCGUGAGUGAUGACGGCCUUAGGGUUGUAAAGCUCUUUUAACAGGGACGAUAAUGACGGUACCUGUAGAAUAAG
rnacentral:rRNA from 1 species